AUGCCAGGACUCGGCAAGCUUCUCCUCCUUUCUCCACCUGAACCAGCCAGCAGGAAGAAGCCUGGGGAAGGUGAUGGGAUGUGGAGUCUCCUGGAUUUGUGCCCGGCGUGGAUUUCAGCGUGGGAGGCUGCAGGAGCUCAGAGCCCUCCUGGUGGAGUCUCCCCAGGGCCAGGGGGAUGCGUGGGAGGAGCUCUCAGGGGGGGGUUUAGACCCCUGGCUCAGAGUUUUGGGGAUGUACAAGGCCUGAGGUGCAGCCCUAAGCAAGGAGAGGGCUCAGGGGGCUUGACCUGCAGGGGAAGGAAAGGUGCCAGAAGUGGGUGCUGAGGCUGAAUUUCACUUCUGGGCAUGGCCAGGAGCAGGAACUGGAGGUGGAUCUCUUGGGCAAUGGUCUUUUAAGGGUUAGAAAGUCCUGAAAUGAACUGGGUUUAUUGGCUUGAAGACCUAAAUUUUGUUGUUAGAGUUUAAAGUGGAGGUAAAAUAGGACAUUGUACUCUGAUGGCUCAUCAGUCCUAAAGUAAAUAAUUAUAGAAAACGUGUAAAGAGCUGAGAAAAUCCUUGAUGAACUGUCUGACUCCUUCCAUCCUCAACUACUGAAAUCCUGAGCAUUUCUGAGGGCUCUGUUUGCUGCUAACCUGUCACAGGCAGCAUCAGAAUUCCCUCCAAACUUCCCUGCCCCUCAUUUUUCUUGGCCAAACCUCUCUGCUGGAUCCUGGUGUUCCCUCUGGCUCGGGCAGGCUCUGCUCCUCUGCUGCUCCUGGCUCUUCACCCGUGGGGGGAAUGCUGUGGGUUGGUGUUACCUGGACAGAGCCAUCCUGUGAUAACACCUCUGGGAUCAGCAAAACCCUUUGCCACUGCUUUUACUGUUCUAGCAAUAACUUCAUGGGGUUUUUAUCCCCCUUUUUCCUGCAAACUGCCUUUACCUCACUCC
rnacentral:lncRNA from 12 species